GCUAUGAGCAAACAUUUAACAGUUGGGGUUCUCACACAUUUGUGCAGUUAUCAGCGGGCUUUCACAGCCAUUGUUGUGUGAGAUGCACGUGCAUGUGUGUUCUUGUUCAUAAGUCUUGUAUCCUUGCCUUUGGCCUGGACUGUAAUUAACGCCCAUGGGAACAGGGUGUUUUCUGGUGUCUCCCCUAUAUUGCCCAGUGCAGAGACGCUUCUAGCAGGUGAUCAGUUUGUACACGUGCAUUGACGAGUAAAGCAAAGACACUGGAUGACUUAUACUAACGGGACUUAGGGGGUGAGGUGCACCCCCCAUCCCUGUGGUAUCGUGGGUAGCGGCCGCCCAGACCAAACCCACAAGCUCCUGUCUAAGCCUGCUCCUCGCUCAGCCGUCCCACCCACAACUGCUGAUCCUGGGAAAGGUAUGCCCGCACCCCCUGCUUCUCUUGUGUCUCUGUCUGUGCCUGACUCUCCUUUUCCAUCUUCUACGUGGAGCUUUGCAGGUUCUCCCUGAACUACUGCCUCUUCUCAGGCCCUUCACCCCUUUUGAUUUUCCUCUCCGGGGAGGAGCCAGAUGCAGGCAUCUGAGCAGCUGCUGGAGAGAGAAGGACUUGGAGCUGGAGGGACUGGCCUCCCAGCACCACUUCAUUUGGACUGUCCUUCCCCCGAGGCCCAGCUGCACACCAGGAGUGCCGGGACCCGCGCUGGACCUCUGGGGAGCUGCAGGGUGAGCCCUCAACUGUCCUCAGGUGGGGCGGGCCUGAGGAAAGUCUCUCCACAGCCACGUCUGGGGUCUGCUGUGCACGGAGCUGCAGGGUUUAGGGCUAGAACAGGUUUUGAAUUUUUUACCCUCUGCAUGUAUAACUUAAAGAAAAAAAAAUCAGCAUGCUUCAAAGCAAAAAGGAAAAUGCCCUGGUGCUUGCAAAUAAACACGGAAGAAAGAGAAAGGAGUUUCUCGGCUCCUCCCUUUCCCCACGUGGCCAGCCCUCUCGGCAGUUCCCCUGUGCAGGGGAUCCUUUCUGGUCACCGGGGAAGGAGAGAGUGACAAGUCUGCGGGGGAGCUGCAGUAAUACAUCCCUCAAUAACGCGCACCUCACGGGGCGCCUGGGUGGCUCAGUCGGUUAAGCGUCCGACUUUGGCUCAGGUCACGAUCUCUCUGUUUGUGAGUUCGAGCCCCGCGUCGGGCUCUGUGCUGACAGCUUAGAGCCUGGAGCCUGCUUUGGAUUCUGUGUCUCCCUCUCUCUCUGCCCCUCCCCUGCUCAUGCUCUGUCUCUCUCUGUCUAAAAACUAAAUAAAACAUUAAAAAAAAAAUUAAAAAAAAAGAAC
rnacentral:lncRNA from 1 species